CCUACGGGAGGCAGCAGUGAGGAAUAUUGGUCAAUGGACGAGAGUCUGAACCAGCCAAGUAGCGUGAAGGAUGACUGCCCUAUGGGUUGUAAACUUCUUUUAUAAAGGAAUAAAACGAGGCACGUGUGCCUUUUUGCAUGUACUUUAUGAAUAAGGAUCGGCUAACUCCGUGCCAGCAGCCGCGGUAAUACGGAGGAUCCGAGCGUUAUCCGGAUUUAUUGGGUUUAACGGGAGCGUAGAUGGGUUGUUAAGUCAGUUGUGAAAGGUUGCGGCUCAACCGUAAAAUUGCAAUUGAUACUGGCAGUCUUGAGUACAGUUGAGGUAAGCGGAAUUCGUGGUGUAGCGGUGAAAUGCUUAGAUAUGACGAAGAACCCCGAUUGCGAAGGCAGCUUACUAAACUGUGACUGACAUUGAUGCUCGAAAGUGUGGGUAUCAAACAGGAUUAGAUACCCCUGUAGUC
rnacentral:rRNA from 1 species